rnacentral:rRNA from 1 species
UACGUAGGGGGCAAGCGUUGUCCGGAUUAUUGGGCGUAAAGCGCUCGCAGGUGGUUCGAUGCGUCGUGCGUGAAAGACCCCGGCUCAACUGGGGAGGGUCGUGCGAUACGGUCGAACUGGAGGCCAGUAGAGGGCGGUGGAAUUCCGGGUGUAGUGGUGGAAUGCGUAGAGCUCCGGAGGAACACCAGUGGCGAAGGCGGCCGCCUGGGCCAGUCCGUCGACGCUGAGCCGGCGCAAA